CCGUAGUGAUGAACCUUUCACAGCUUGUAUGAAGCCCCCCACUAUCCAAAGCAGACAGGAAAGUCCCCACAUGUUGGAAUGGGAUGCUACACUGUUCCCAGGGCAGCAGCCCUUCAUCGUUCCUUCUGUACAGAAUUUUUCAAGGAGUACGCGGUCUCAAAUUCUGGAUAGAGACCCUCCCUCAGUCAUCAGCUGGAACAGCCAAGCAACUCCUCUGCAGUGUGGAUCCAGGGGACAAAGUGACUCAUAAUCCUUCAGUGGUGAUGUUACUAUUAGAAGUCAGAUCCAGCCGCAAAUAUGUAACCCAGGGUUCAGUCUCAAAGCCUGUUCCGUGCACAGUCUUCACAGCUGAAGAAAUGUGGAAGCUAGCAUACUUCUUUCGAAAAAAUGUUAACCUUGUGGCUCUAUCACAAUAGGAAAUGAAUCAAACCUGUCAACUACAUGAUACUAUGGUUAGGUGCCAUAAUCCAAAAGUUACAAAACAACCUGCAGGACGUAAUGUAGUUUUAGAGUGAAAAAAUUAAAAAUGCUUGCCUUAUGACUGAUGAGUUAUACAUGGGAUGGGCUGAGAUAGCAUGUGAAUUUGUGCAUGUGUAUGGGUAUGUUAGUUGUGGGUAGAGUUGGGUUGACGUUGGAGGGUGGUGGCGGUGCACCUUACAAGUUUAAACUGGGCAAGCUCAAAGGAAUCAUGCUUGGCUUAGGUCCCAUGGUACAAGUUUGUACUGGGCCAUGAAAGACGAUGCUUGGUCCUGUGGGUGACACCUGGCAUAUAGGCUGAAAGAAAGGUGUGCCUUGUCAGGGAUUUUCCCAGAUGCUUUCUGGAUUUCUUCACCAUUAUCAGCAACUCCUUUUAAACACACAAAGCAUGUGUACCAUGUAUUGGCAGGGCACUAUUCUGGGAGUAGCCUGCUAAUUGUUCUUUCUCAUUCGUAUAAUCCUGGGUGAAGGGAGAAAUCAACAAGAAAUAAAGUUUUUCUCUCCACACAAUCAAGGGCUCUAUAUUUCUGGUUUGAAAGAAAGGAUCAGAUGGUUUGGUCUUUGGACAGAGUACCCAAGGUUGUGGUGAGAGCUAGACUCUAUCUCUUUCCAUAUUUCCUAGGAUAGUAGAGUCAGAUGAAGAGUUCAGACUUACAAGGGCAUUGAAGAAAACCUAAAGCCCUAGCCUCAAAUACAAGAGUCUGCUCCUACUCAAGCUUGGGAUAGGGUUGGGGAGGGAGCUGCUGGAGAAUGUUAUUUAACCUCUAGUUAUAAUCUUGUUAAAGGAACAGAGUAUCACUCGUUUUGGACCUGAGGCUGACUGGUUUCAUAUAGUUAAACACAGCAUGAAUUGGCAUUAAAUAAACUCAGAAUGGAGGAAACAUGUUUCAUAAGGCAGGGAGAGAUGUGGGCACAUUACUGUUGGCGUAUUAAAAGACUAAACUUGGACGAAAGUCUUCUCAUCAUGAGCAGAGCAGAUUGUCACCAGCCUAUCCCCAGCAAGACAGCACCACAGAAAUUCACCCCCAGCUUCCCAAUGCCUACAUCCUCAUUGCCAGAGAAACAAAAUCCUGACUCAAGAGAUUAAAAAUUUUUGUAAAAGCCUCAUUGACAAGGCAUUCAGCCACUGUACUUUUACCUCACCAGAUAUCACCCCCUCUCACUUUCUAGUUUUUCC
ensembl:lncRNA